GACGAACGCUGGCGGCGUGCUUAACACAUGCAAGUCGAACGGAAAGGCCCUGCUUUUGUGGGGUGCUCGAGUGGCGAACGGGUGAGUAACACGUGAGUAACCUGCCCUUGACUUUGGGAUAACUUCAGGAAACUGGGGCUAAUACCGGAUAGGAGCUCCUGCUGCAUGGUGGGGGUUGGAAAGUUUCGGCGGUUGGGGAUGGACUCGCGGCUUAUCAGCUUGUUGGUGGGGUAGUGGCUUACCAAGGCUUUGACGGGUAGCCGGCCUGAGAGGGUGACCGGCCACAUUGGGACUGAGAUACGGCCCAGACUCCUACGGGAGGCAGCAGUGGGGAAUAUUGCACAACGGGCGGAAGCCUGAUGCAGCAACGCCGCGUGCGGGAUGACGGCCUUCGGGUUGUAAACCGCUUUCGCCUGUGACGAAGCGUGAGUGACGGUAAUAGGUAAAGAAGCACCGGCUAACUACGUG
rnacentral:rRNA from 1 species